rfam:Flavobacterium sp. LM5 Flavobacterium_sp_LM5_contig4, whole genome shotgun sequence.
CCCUAGCCCAGAUAGCAACGGAAAUCCUUUAGUGCCAGGGUUUGGCACUAAAGAUUGCAGUGAAUAGCUGGAUUAGCU